CAUUGUGAUAUCUAGGAUAAUUCUAAAAGAACAGUACAAAAACUCUAACACAAAAUAUAAUAAAAGGAUAAAAAAAAAUACAAUCUCGAAAAACAAUAAGAAAGUUGGAAAACUCACAAUUCCUGAUUAUAAAACUUUUUACAAAGCUAUAAUGAUGCAGAGAGAUAGAUAGACACCAGAAGUGAAAAUCCAGAAACAAACCCACUCAUUUAUGGCCAAAUGAUACUUUGAAAGGGUUCUGAGACUACUGAGUGGGGAAAUCAUAGCCUCUUCAUCAAAUGGUGCUGGGAUUUGAAUGUAGAUAUCCAUUUGUUACUGGCUUUUUAUACUUCCUAUAAUAUUUACAAGGUUCAUCUGUUUUGUACCAUCUUGUACCAUGUAUUUGAUACUAUUUAGCUGAAUAUUAUUCAGCCAUAAAAGAAUAAUGUACUAAUACAUGGUACAACAUAGAC